rnacentral:rRNA from 1 species
UACUUGUACCGACUGGAUGAGCAGCGAACGGGUGAGUAACGCGUGGGGAAUCUGCCUUUGAGCGGGGGACAACAUUUGGAAACGAAUGCUAAUACCGCAUAAAAACUUUAAACACAAGUUUUAAGUUUGAAAGAUGCAAUUGCAUCACUCAAAGAUGAUCCCGCGUUGUAUUAGCUAGUUGGUGAGGUAAAGGCUCACCAAGGCGAUGAUACAUAGCCGACCUGAGAGGGUGAUCGGCCACAUUGGGACUGAGACACGGCCCCAACUCCUACGGAGGACGUCAGUAGCGAAUCUUCGGCAAUGGACGGAAGUCUGACCGAGCAACGCCGCGUGAGUGAAGAAGGUUUUCGGAUCGUAAAACUCUGUUGGUAGAGAAGAACGUUGGUGAGAGUGGAAAGCUCAUCAAGUGACGGUAACUACCCCAGAAAGGGACGGCUAACUACGUGCCAGCAGCCGCUGUAAUACGUAGGUCCCGAGCGUUGUCCGGAUUUAUUGGGCGUAAAGCGAGCGCAGGUGGUUUAUUAAGUCUGGUGUAAAAGGCAGUGGCUCAACCAUUGUAUGCAUUGGAAACUGGUAGACUUGAGUGCAGGAGAGGAGAGUGGAAUUCCAUGUGUAGCGGUGAAAUGCGUAGAUAUAUGGAGGAACACCGGUGGCGAAAGCGGCUCUCUGGCCUGUAACUGACACUGAGGCUCGAAAGCGUGGGGAGCAAACAGGAUUAGAUACCCUGGUAGUCCACGCCGUAAACGAU